GGAGCCGUGGCAGAGAGGCCUAAUGCGCCGUGUUGCUAACACGGAGUGGUCACCACCACCGGAGGUUCGAAUCCUCCCGGCUCCG
rnacentral:tRNA from 1 species